GACGAACGCUGGCGGCGUGCUUAACACAUGCAAGUCGAACGGAAAGGCCUUUUCGGAGGUACUCGAGUGGCGAACGGGUGAGUAACACGUGGGUGAUCUGCCCUGCACUCUGGUAUAAGCCUGGGAAACUGGGUCUAAUACCGGAUAGGACCGCACUUUAGUGUGUGUGGUGGAAAGUUUUUUCGGUGUAGGAUGAGCCCGCGGCCUAUCAGCUUGUUGGUGGGGUAAUGGCCUACCAAGGCGGCGACGGGUAGCCGGACUGAGAGGUUGGUCGGCCACAUUGGGACUGAGAUACGGCCCAGACUCCUACGGGAGGCAGCAGUGGGGAAUAUUGCACAAUGGGCGCAAGCCUGAUGCAGCGACGCCGCGUGGGGGAUGACGGCCUUCGGGUUGUAAACUCCUUUCGCCAGGGACGAAGCGUUUUGUGACGGUACCUGGAGAAGAAGCACCGGCUAACUACGUG
rnacentral:rRNA from 1 species